GGGAAGCCUGGAGAGUGGGGACCCCUGGGAUCCCCAGGACAACAAGGUGGAGAACCUGGAGAGGGGGAAUGUCUGGGAAGGCGGCACCCCAAAGGAUUUGUCUUUUCCAAAGCUUGGGCGGAUGGACGAGGAGGCUGCGAGGAAGUUGCUGCGGGUCCCCCAGGCAGGCCCCGAGCUGAGGA